rnacentral:rRNA from 1 species
GGAAUAUUGGUCAAUGGGCGUAAGCCUGAACCAGCCAAGUAGCGUGCAGGAUGACGGCCCUAUGGGUUGUAAACUGCUUUUAUGCGGGGAUAAAGUGAGGGACGUGUCUCUUUUUGUAUGUACCGCAUGAAUAAGGACCGGCUAAUUCCGUGCCAGCAGCCGCGGUAAUACGGAAGGUCCGGGCGUUAUCCGGAUUUAUUGGGUUUAAAGGGAGCGCAGGCGGAGGAUUAAGCGUGAAGUGAAAUGUCCCGGCUCAACCGUGGAACUGCGUCGCGAACUGGUUUUCUUGAGUAAGUGCGAGGCCGGCGGAAUUCGUGGUGUAGCGGUGAAAUGCUUAGAUAUCACGAAGAACCCCGAUUGCGAAGGCAGCCGGCCAGUCCUUAACUGACGCUAAAGCUCGAAAGUGCGGGUAUCGAACA